ACUCACUCGACUUCGACCCAAUCAUAAACUAACAUCAGGGUUGGGAGUGAGGGGUCAAGAGAGUGCAAUGCAACUCAAUAUACCACAAAAAGGAGCUCUACAAGUCUUUGAAAUAGAGAAAAUAAAAUUAAUUUACAAAAAAGUCAUUUCACAACUCGGAACCAAUUUAACUACUCAUAAAGGAGUAUAAUCAAGACUACCACUCACAAGUCUUUGAAAUAGAGGAAAUGAAAUCAAUUUACAAAAAAAUCAUUUCACAAUUCUGAAUCAAUUUAAUUAUUCAUCUACCCCUCGUAAUUCCUCUCAAUGUUCCCUCAAAUGCAUGUACAGAAUAAUUAAGCAUGGAGAACAAAACAUAGAGGAAUCUACCACAAUAAUCAAUCAAUAAGCUCAGGUGGAAUCAAAUCACACUUGGCAACAUUCAUGAAAAUGAAUAAGAAAUGUGCUCAUGGUGCAAAGUACAAUCUCCCACUCA
rnacentral:lncRNA from 1 species